ensembl:lncRNA
AUGUAUGUGACUUCCCUGGUGGCUCAGAGGUUAAAGUGUCUGCCUCCAAUGCAGGAGACCUGGGUUCAAUCCCUGGGUUGGGAAGAUCCCCUGGAGAAAUGUAUAUCUUGCACUAAAAUAACUUCCCUCACCAGGACCUUGGUAAAAGAUGAGAAUUCAAAGAAAAAUGGAUACAGUCCCUGCCUUCAGGAGUUGCUAGUAUGGUAGAAGAUUCAGAAAUUUAAGAAAUUAAUCCCCCCCCCCCGCCCCCGCUAACGGAAUAAACAUCACAAUGGAGAUUUUUAGACAGGUCUAGGAGGGAGUUCGAGAUGCCUACAGCUGAAUGGUUCCCAAGGAUGAGUUUAUAAUCAGUGGAGCCGGCGGGCCGAGGAAGAGAGCCUGUGCAGAGGCACUGAGUGUUCUGGAGACCAGCAAAGAUCUGCAGGGGCUGACUGUGUAGGGUCCUUGGGCAAGACAGGUCACAAGUGUCAAGAAAGAAGAGAGGACAGGUCAAUUAGAGCCAGUUUUUUAAGAUUAUUCUAUAUGCAGUAAUUCAGACUUUGCCUAUGGGUAGCAAAGGCCCAAAGUGGCUUUUAAAGCAGGGAAAUGACAGGAACCAGUUCCUCUCUCAGGCUGGGGCCAAGAAACCCUUGGAGGCACUGAACGAGUUCACCUCCCUCAUCAAUGCCUGACACUGGCUCAGGACCUUCCUCCUAAAGUCACUGACAUGGGGUGACACCUCCAACCUCCAGCUGGGUUCCACUCUCACUCUGGGGCCUCCAAGAGAAGCAGGAGCCACUGGUGCACACUGAAUGUCCAGUUUACCUAUGGGAAAGCCCAGCUCCAGUACCACAGAGAAAAGCCCCUGGCAAGUCAUUGGGAAAGUGUCAGCCGGAGGGGUCUCUGACAUUUCAGAAACCCCUUUCCUCUCUCUUUGUCCUUCUCAGCCUGUGUCAUUAAUUUCCAGGCUGUCUCCAUAGCAGAGUCCAAAGAGCACCUUGGUAUGUGUGGGAGUGUGAUCCAGCCAAGCCCUUUGGAGGCAUAGACUGUCAUUUCCAGGAGGAUGGAGACUAUCUUCUUUCUGUAUUCCUGGAACAUAGAAUAGCAUAGUUUCCAGUAUAAAAAGUGUCAGAUGGUCUAAAAGAAAACAGAAAAUGUCAGCUGUAUUCAUGGAGACAAUGACCAAGCAUGAGUGGUAAAGAAUCCAUUUGGCAAUGCAGAAGAUGCAAGAGACAUGGAUUUGAUCCCUGGGUCAGGAAGAUCCCCUGGAAUAGGAAAUGGCAACCUGCUCCAGUAUUUUGGCCUGGAGAAUUCCAUGGACAGAGGUGUCUGGUGAGCUACAGUCCUUGGGGUGGCAAACAUUCGCACAAGACUCAGCACGUGCACAUACCCCAAGUAUCACAAGCUUUGUGAUUGUGUUAAUUCCUCUGGGUCUUUUUCUGUCUACCUAUAUCUAUUUGGCUAUCAGGACUGGCCAAAUCUAAUAUUCAAGCCCUUUACUAUAAUAUUUUAUUUAAAUGUGUUUAUAGUAAUUUUAAAAAUCUGUUUAGCUUUUAUGUUGUUUCAUAUAUAAAACAAAAUUAUUUCUUAUAAGUUAUGCUUUUUAUUAUUAUAUAAUAUCCCCCUUUUUUCUGUUUAGGGAUUUUGGACUUAAAUUACAUGUUCCAUGGUACAGUGACACCAUGCCUGCUUUAAGAUGUUGCUCUCCUUUUACAUUUCAUUGUUGCUUGUCCUUCUCCAGCCCUCAUAUAAAAUCAGACAGAUAUUUCCCUAGUAUUUCGUGAAAAGAAGAUGCCAACUUUUCCCCAGCUUUUCCACUGUCACUCCCCACCCAUGAUAUUCAGCUUGAAAAAGACUUCAGUUGAAAUUUCCUCCUUACUCUCCUCCCAAGAGAGGACGACUUGGGAAUAUUUUUGCUUCCUUCUUUCUCAUGCCCCUCCUCACCACAAUUCUUUAGUUUUGCUGAGGUGGUUUAGUUCUUUAAAUUCCAGAUUAUUAUUAAAUUUUCCUUUUUAGUACACUUCUCUAUUUCUAAGCUCUCUAUUUAUAAUAGUUACACAUACUCAGUCCAUCUUGGUCAACCUAUUUUUAAUUAAAUAUCACAAGCUUGUUGCUCACUGUGGCUUUCUCUCCUCUUCAAGUCUGUUUUGUUUGUUGGUUUGUUUUUUAAAAAGUCUUUUUCUAGUAUUUUUACCGGAUGAGUAAUGAGAUGUGUGACUUCUCUGAAUCUUUAUGUAUCUGCAAACACUUUUCUUGUACCCUAAGAGAUGAAAAAUAUUUUUAAGUUGGAAAUAUAUCCCAUUGUCUUCUAGCUUCCUAGUGUUGCAAAAGAAAAUUUCAUGACAGCCUAAUUUUUUCCUUUAUAAACAACUUAAACGUUUCUACACAGAAAGAAUAUGAUUUUUCUCUUUAUC